rnacentral:rRNA from 1 species
GACUACGGCCCUAACAUUCUGAACACGUUCCAUUUCAUCUGAUCUCGGAAGGUAAGCAGAGGCAGGCCCCAGUGACUAUUUGAAGGGAGAGUGGUAUUGCAAAGGUUUGUCUUUUUGCCAUUGUCA